AGUGAACGCUGGCGGUAGGCCUAACACAUGCAAGUCGAACGGCAGCACAGUAAGAGCUUGCUCUUACGGGUGGCGAGUGGCGGACGGGUGAGGAAUACAUCGGAAUCUACUUUUUCGUGGGGGAUAACGUAGGGAAACUUACGCUAAUACCGCAUACGACCUACGGGUGAAAGCAGGGGAUCUUCGGACCUUGCGCGAUUGGAUGAGCCGAUGUCGGAUUAGCUAGUUGGCGGGGUAAAGGCCCACCAAGGCGACGAUCCGUAGCUGGUCUGAGAGGAUGAUCAGCCACACUGGAACUGAGACACGGUCCAGACUCCUACGGGAGGCAGCAGUGGGGAAUAUUGGACAAUGGGCGCAAGCCUGAUCCAGCCAUACCGCGUGGGUGAAGAAGUCCUUCGGGUUGUAAAGCCCUUUUGUUGGGAAAGAAAAGCAGCAGGUUAAUACCCCGCUGUUCUGACGGUACCCGAAGAAUAAGCACCGGCUAACUUCGUG
rnacentral:rRNA from 1 species